rnacentral:lncRNA from 1 species
ACGGACCAGCUCAGCGAGCCCGGGGCACCGGAGACCAUCAUGUACUACCACCUCAUCCCCGAGUACCAGACGGAGGAGAGCAUGUACAACGCGGUCCGCCGGUUCGGGAAGGUGCGCUACGACACCCUGCGGGUGCCGCACAAGGUGGUCGCGAGGGAGGCCGACGGCUCCGUCAAGUUUGGCGCCGGCGAGGGCUCCGCCUACCUGUUCGACCCCGACAUCUACACCGACGGCCGCAUCUCCGUGCAGGGCAUCGACGCCGUUCUCUUCCCUCCCGACGAGGACGCCCC